CCACUUACAAUUUCAUAUUAUAAAGCAAAACUACCUACGAGAAAAAUGUUCUCAUCCAGUAGUAUAUUAUAAUACAUUGGAAUAAAAUAUCCAGUAAUAGUCUGUAGCACUCUAAUACAGACGAUUCAUCAACAUCCGAAUCGUGAAAAACAUUCGUUAGCAUUAAUAUAAAAUAUAAAAGCACUUUAUAUUAGUUUCUAUACCAACGAUUACGGGAAUGGAACCAUUGGAUAUUCCACUGAAAGUCCAUUUAAUAAAAUCUUCAUUUUAGACAAAAAGAAAAGCCUGACGAUUCUGGAAAAACUAGAAAAAUAUUUCUAUGAUAAAACAUCAUAUUGGUGCCAUCUCUUUUACUUUGUAGGCAGCACAGUAUGUGUAACAAUAUUUGAGUACAAAUUUCUCUCAAGCAUUUGUGAUAUUUCAAAACAUUGUAUAGCAAGAACUUCCAAUACUUAAUUAAAUUACGCGAAUCGCUAUAUGGAUAUUAAAAAACAAUGUUUUAUAUUGCAAAAUAUCUAAUUGGGAGAAUCAGUUUUUAGAAUUGAAGCAUUCUCUUCUCAUUCAGUCUUUUAAUGCUUUAAAAA